UGGGGAAUAUUGCACAAUGGGCGCAAGCCUGAUGCAGCCAUGCCGCGUGUAUGAAGAAGGCCUUCGGGUUGUAAAGUACUUUCAGCGGGGAGGAAGGGAGUAAAGUUAAUACCUUUGCUCAUUGACGUUACCCGCAGAAGAAGCACCGGCUAACUCCGUGCCAGCAGCCGCGGUAAUACGGAGGGUGCAAGCGUUAAUCGGAAUUACUGGGCGUAAAGCGCACGCAGGCGGUUUGUUAAGUCAGAUGUGAAAUCCUCGGGCUCAACCUGGGAACUGCAUCUGAUACUGGCAAGCUUGAGUCUCGUAGAGGGGGGUAGAAUUCCAGGUGUGGCGGUGAAAUGCGUGGAGAUCUGGGGGAAUACCGGUGGCGAAGGCGGCCCCCUGGACGAAGACUGACGCUCAGGUGCGAAAGCGUGGGGAGCAAACAGG
rnacentral:rRNA from 1 species